CACGUAGUUAGCCGGGGCUUCUUAGUCAGGUACCGUCUUUUUUCUUCCCUGCUGAUAGAGCUUUACAUACCGAAAUACUUCUUCACUCACGCGGCGUCGCUGCAUCAGGGUUUCCCCCAUUGUGCAAUAUUCCCCACUGCUGCCUCCCGUAGGAGUUUGGACCGUGUCUCAGUCCCAAUGUGGCCGUUCACCCUCUCAGGCCGGCUACUGAUCGUCGCCUUGGUAGGCCGUUACCCCACCAACCAGCUAAUCAGACGCGGGCUCAUCUUAUACUACCGGAGUUUUUCACACAGAAACAUGCGUCCCCGUGCGCUUAUGCGGUAUUAGCAGUCAUUUCUAACUGUUAUCCCCCUGUAUAAGGCAGAUUACCCACGUGUUACUCACCCGUCCGCCGCUAAGUCAAUUUCGAUUCCAUCCGAAAAUUUCCUCAAAAUCGCUUCGCUCGACUUGCAUGUGUUAGGCACGCCGCCAGCGUUCAUCCUGAGCCAGGAUCAAACUCU
rnacentral:rRNA from 1 species